GUUAAACGCUGGCGGCAUGCCUUACACAUGCAAGUCGAACGGCAGCACGGGGGCAACCCUGGUGGCGAGUGGCGAACGGGUGAGUAAAGCAUCGGAACGUGCCCUGGAGUGGGGGAUAACGUAGCGAAAGUUACGCUAAUACCGCAUAUUCUGUGAGCAGGAAAGCAGGGGAUCGCAAGACCUUGCGCUCUGGGAGCGGCCGAUGUCGGAUUAGCUAGUUGGUGGGGUAAAGGCCUACCAAGGCGACGAUCCGUAGCGGGUCUGAGAGGAUGAUCCGCCACACUGGGACUGAGACACGGCCCAGACUCCUACGGGAGGCAGCAGUGGGGAAUUUUGGGACAAUGGGCGAAAGCCUGAUCCAGCCAUGCCGCGUGAGUGAAGAAGGCCUCGGUUGGUUAAGACUCUUUCGGUUGGGGUAAGGAAAGUUAG
rnacentral:rRNA from 1 species